rnacentral:rRNA from 1 species
CCUACGGGUGGCAGCAGUGGGGAAUAUUGGACAAUGGGCGAAAGCCUGAUCCAGCCAUGCCGCGUGUGUGAAGAAGGCCUUCGGGUUGUAAAGCACUUUCAGUGGGGAAGAAAGCCUUGGGGCUAAUACCCUCGAGGAAGGACAUCACCCACAGAAGAAGCACCGGCUAACUCCGUGCCAGCAGCCGCGGUAAUACGGAGGGUGCGAGCGUUAAUCGGAAUUACUGGGCGUAAAGCGCGCGUAGGCGGUCUGAUAAGCCGGUUGUGAAAGCCCCGGGCUCAACCUGGGAACGGCAUCCGGAACUGUCAGGGUAGAGUGCAGGAGAGGAAGGUAGAAUUCCCGGUGUAGCGGUGAAAUGCGUAGGGAUCGGGAGGAAUACCAGUGGCGAAGGCGGCCUUCUGGACUGACACUGACGCUGAGGUGCGAAAGCGUGGGUAGCAAACAGGAUUAGAUACCCCUGUAGUC